AUGAUAUUACCUCCGUCCCAAAAAGCUUGUUUUGGAUAUAUUUAGAUACGGGUUAAUCUAAUAAUAAAAUAUGUUUAGAUACAUCGGUGGCUAGACAAAUCUAAGAUAAACUUUUUUGGAACGGAGGCAGUAUUUG
rfam:Triticum urartu cultivar G1812 contig809165, whole genome shotgun sequence.